rnacentral:misc_RNA from 1 species
AAGUCCGAACAUAUUCCUCUUCACAUAGCGUUUCGAUAGAACUAUCUGGGCCUGGGCCUGGGUCUGGGCCUGUAAUCCAUAAGGGCUCUCCAGUUUGGGCCAUUCUUACAAGUUCUUCCAUAGCUGCUACAGCAAGUUCAAUGAUCAUGGGCUUAUCAGCAUCUAUUGGGCCUGAAACUGACCUUAAAAGGUCACCAGCACUGUACAUUUCUCCAACAAGGCCCGUUUG